rnacentral:piRNA from 1 species
UGGAGGUACCAACGUGUCUCCUGAAGCA